UUAAGUUCAGCGGGUAUUCCUACCUGAUCCGAGGUCAACCUUGAGAAGUAGGGGGUUUUACGGCGUGGCCGCACCGCCGUCCGGCUGCGAGGUAUCACUACUGCGCAGGGGAGCUCGCGAUGGGGCCGCCACUGUAUUUCAGGGCCGGCAGCUGCUGCGGGCAGCCGGUCCCCAACACCAGCGCUCCCGGGGGGCACUGA
rnacentral:misc_RNA from 1 species